rnacentral:rRNA from 1 species
AGUGAACGCUGGCGGCAUGCCUAAUACAUGCAAGUCGAGCGGCAGCACAAGAAGAUUGUGUUCUUACUGUUGGCGGGGGACGGGUGGGUGAGGCGUGGAUCAGAUACCUAUUUUUCUGGGAUGAUUUCGGGAGAAAGGAGCUAAUAAUGGCUAAUAUUUUGUACGGCAUGAAGCAAAAGUGAAAGACGGUUUUGCUGUUACUAUUAGCUGGAGCCGCGUUGGAUUAGUUAGUUGGUAAGGUAACGGCAUACCAAGGCAACGAUGCGUAGCUGAGCUGAGAGGAUGAUCAGCCACACUGGAACUGAGACACGGUCCAGACUCCUACGGGAGGCAGCAGUGGGGAAUCUUCCACAAUGGGCGAAAGCCUGACGCAGCAAUGCCGCGUGAGUGAUGAAGGUCUUCGGAUCGUAAAGCUCUUUUAUUAGGAAAGAACAGAUGUGUAUUUAUCUCUGCACAUCCUGACGGUACCUAAACAGAAAGCCACGGCUAACUACGUG